rnacentral:misc_RNA from 1 species
GAAGAAAAAGAAGGGAUUGAAGGAUAAGAUUAAGGAAAAAAUAUCUGGUGAUCACAAGGAAGAAUCGAAAGCAGAGGAUACCUCAGUUCCAGUUGAGAAAUACGAGGAAACAGAGGAGAAAAAAGGAUUUCUAGACAAAAUUAAGGAGAAAUUGCCAGGUGGCGGGCAUAAGAAGACGGAGGAAGUGGCGGCGCCACCACCACCACCACCGGCUGCGGUGGAGCAUGAGGCGGAGGGGAAGGAGAAGAAGGGAUUUUUGGACAAAAUUAAGGAGAAAUUACCAGGAUACCACUCAAAGGCUGAAGAGGAAAAGGAGAAGGAAAAAGACUAAAUGAAAUGAAAUGUUUUUUUAAUUUUACUUUUGGGAUGUUAUGAUUGUGUUUCUGUGUUGUUUUGGUUUUUAAGUGUUUUUCAUUUCCUUCACUUUUGUUUUUUUUGGAUUCUGAAGGAUAAUUGUUAGUACUGUAUUUGAUAUUUCUGUAUGUAAGUGCAUAUGUAUGUGCCUUAUGUGUAUGAAGUUUGAUAAUAUGGAUUUGUAAAAUGCAG